rnacentral:rRNA from 1 species
CCAGACUCCUACGGGAGGCAGCAGUGGGGAAUAUUGCACAAUGGGGGGAAACCCUGAUGCAGCAACGCCGCGUGAGUGAAGAAGUCAUUCGUGAUGUAAAGCUCUAUCAGCAGGGAAGAAAAUGACGGUACCUGAGUAAGAAGCCCCGGCUAACUACGUGCCAGCAGCCGCGGUAAUACGUAGGGGGCAAGCGUUAUCCGGAUUUACUGGGUGUAAAGGGAGCGUAGACGGAGAAGCAAGUCUGAAGUGAAAGCCCGUGGCUUAACCACGGGACUGCUUUGGAAACUGUUUGACUAGAGUGCUGGAGAGGUAAGUGGAAUUCCUAGUGUAGCGGUGAAAUGCGUAGAUAUUAGGAGGAACACCAGUGGCGAAGGCGGCUUACUGGACAGUAACUGACGUUGAGGCUCGAAAGCGUGGGGAGCAAACAGGAUUAGAUACCCUUGUAACG